rnacentral:lncRNA from 1 species
GCGCCGUUGCUGGGGAGAAAGACGGUUUGCUGAGAUAACUUUAAGUCUUGCUAUUAUCUUGUAUUAUACUUUUAUACUUUUAUUCUUUUAUCUUUUUAUUUUUUCCAUCUUUAUGGAUAACUUAAAUUCCAUACCUAUUAUUGAAUUCUUUGCACCUUCGGAGACCAGCCAUAGACCAUGGGAGUCAACAAGUCCUGCCCCUAAUUAUGAUCUGUGUCCGGAGUUGAUUGCAAUAGGUCAAAACCAACCCUUUUCUAUAGCCGGGGUCCUAUCUUUUAAUCAAGAAGAUAAUGAACUUUUAGCUACACCUAGGGAAUCUUUUAAUCUUUCUAUAAAUUCUGGUUUAAACCUAGCACUACAAGAUCAUGUUUGUCCACGAU